AACUUGCAAUUAGCUUGCUACUUUGAAUUGUUGGAAAUAUGACCUUACUCGGUGCCUCCAAAUUGAUGUCAUUUGUUGUUCUUUUAGCAAUACUUUUACUGCUCAUGCCCUCCACGCUGGGAAGUGCUUCCCAACCUAGUAUUAUACUCGGGCGAAAGCUUUUCCAAUAUCCUGGUGGUAGAGGAUAUGGAUAUGCUGAUGGUGAGUCAAUAUAUAAAAAAUAUCCUGGUGGUGGAGGAUAUCGAAAAAGACCAUGAAAUCAUUAACCACGCCAAGGGGCCGGGAAAUGGUUACCAACAAAACUGCUCGAUCUGUUGCUGAAAUAUUGGAGAUGUUAGCAUCGUUCUUUAAUUCUGUUGUUUUUUAUGCGAGUGAUAAAAUUUACUUUUAUAACAUGUAUGUGUGUCAGUACGUAGUCAUACUAAACUAUGAAGCAGGAACAUCCUACUUUGUGUCCUGUGUCCAACACGACAACACCGACACCCAUGUUCACGUCGUGUCCGACAUCUGUGUUAGUGUCUCAUGUCUAUUCACUUUAACCAUGGUAAUAGUCCAAAAUUAUUGGUUAAUAGAGAAUCAAAGUGGAUUACCAAUAAA